AUUGAACGCUGGCGGAAUGCUUUACACAUGCAAGUCGAGCGGCAGCACGGGGGCAACCCUGGUGGCGAGCGGCGAACGGGUGAGUAACACAUCGGAACAUGCCCAGUCGUGGGGGAUAACACUUCGAAAGAAGUGCUAAUACCGCAUACGUCCUGAGGGAGAAAGCGGGGGAUCGCAAGACCUCGCGCGAUUGGAGUGGCCGAUGUCAGAUUAGCUAGUUGGUGGGGUAAAGGCCUACCAAGGCAACGAUCUGUAGCUGGUCUGAGAGGAUGAUCAGCCACACUGGGACUGAGACACGGCCCAGACUCCUACGGGAGGCAGCAGUGGGGAAUUUUGGACAAUGGGGGCAACCCUGAUCCAGCCAUUCCGCGUGAGUGAAGAAGGCCUUCGGGUUGUAAAGCUCUUUCGGCAGGAACGAAACGGUGAGCUCUAACAUAGCUUGCUAAUGACGGUACCUGAAGAAGAAGCACCGGCUAACUACGG
rnacentral:rRNA from 1 species